UACGAAGGGGGCUAGCGUUGUUCGGAAUUACUGGGCGUAAAGCGCACGUAGGCGGAUAUUUAAGUCAGGGGUGAAAUCCCAGAGCUCAACUCUGGAACUGCCUUUGAUACUGGGUAUCUGGAGUAUGGAAGAGGUGAGUGGAAUUCCGAGUGUAGAGGUGAAAUUCGUAGAUAUUCGGAGGAACACCAGUGGCGAAGGCGGCUCACUGGUCCAUUACUGACGCUGAGACUCGAAAGCAUGGGGAGCAAACAGG
rnacentral:rRNA from 1 species